rnacentral:rRNA from 1 species
AUUGAACGCUGGCGGCAGGCCUAACACAUGCAAGUCGAGCGGAUGAAGGGAGCUUGCUCCUGGAUUCAGCGGCGGACGGGUGAGUAAUGCCUAGGAAUCUGCCUGGUAGUGGGGGAUAACGUCCGGAAACGGGCGCUAAUACCGCAUACGUCCUGAGGGAGAAAGUGGGGGAUCUUCGGACCUCACGCUAUCAGAUGAGCCUAGGUCGGAUUAGCUAGUUGGUGGGGUAAAGGCCUACCAAGGCGACGAUCCGUAACUGGUCUGAGAGGGUGAUCAGUCACACUGGAACUGAGACACGGGCCAGACUCCUACGGGAGGCAGCAGUGGGGAAUAUUGGACAAUGGGCGAAAGCCUGAUCCAGCCAUGCCGCGUGUGAAGAAGGUCUUCGUAUUGUAAAGCACUUUAAGUUGGGGGGAAGGGCAGUAAGUUAAUACCUUGCUGUUUUGACGUUACCGACAGAAUAAGCACCGGCUAACUUCGUG